rnacentral:rRNA from 1 species
AACGAACGCUGGCGGCAUGCCUAACACAUGCAAGUCGAACGAGAUCUUCGGGUCUAGUGGCGCACGGGUGCGUAACGCGUGGGAAUCUGCCCUUUGAUUCGGAAUAACAGUUGGAAACGACUGCUAAUAUCGGAUGAUGACGAAAGUCCAAAGAUUUAUCGCCAGAGGAUGAGCCCGCGUAGGAUUAGCUAGUUGGUGUGGUAAAGGCGCACCAAGGCGACGAUCCUUAGCUGGUCUGAGAGGAGAAUCAGCCACACUGGGACUGAGACACGGCCCAGACUCCUACGGGAGGCAGCAGUGGGGAAUAUUGGACAAUGGGCGAAAGCCUGAUCCAGCAAUGCCGCGUGAGUGAUGAAGGCCUUAGGGUUGUAAAGCUCUUUUACCCGGGAUGAUAAUGACAGUACCGGGAGAAUAAGCUCCGGCUAACUCCGUGCCAGCAGCCGCCGUAA